rnacentral:rRNA from 1 species
GAUGAACGCUGGCGGCGUGCCUAAUACAUGCAAGUCGAGCGGACGGACGAGGAUUUUGCUUCUCUGAUGUUAGGGGCGGGCGGGUGAUUAACACGAGUAUAACCUACCUAUAAGACUGAGAUAACUUCGGGAACCCGGAUCUAACACAGGAUAAUAUUUUGAACCGCGUGGUUCAUAGGUGAAAGACGGUCUUGCUGUCACUUAUAGAUGUAUCCUCGCUGCAUUAGCUAGUUGGUACGGUAACGGCUUACCAAGGCUACGAUGCAUAGCCGACCUGAGAGGGUGAUCGGCCACACUGGAACUGAGACACGGUCCAGACUCCUACGGGAGGCAGCAGUAGGGAAUAUUCCGCAAUGGGCGAAAGCCUGACGGAGCAACGCCGCGUGUGAGAUGAAGGUCUUCGGAUCGUAAAGCUCUGUUAUUAGGGAAGAACAUAUGUGUAAGUAAAUGUGCCCAUCUUGACGGUACCUAAUCAGAAAGCAACGGCUAACUACGUG